GCCGCGAUGGCUCGUAUUGUAGAGCGUCUGCCGGGUGUGCCGUGGGUCGCCGGUUCGAUUCCGGCUCACGGCU
rnacentral:tRNA from 1 species